AGGUAAGAUGGCCGAGAGUAGGCAGUGGUUUGUAGCACCACUUACGGAGGUUCACCCCCUCUUUUUAUCA
rnacentral:tRNA from 1 species